rnacentral:rRNA from 1 species
UACGAGGGGGGCGAGCGUUGUUCGGAAUUAUUGGGCGUAAAGGGUGCGUAGGCGGUUUGGUAAGUCUUAUGUGAAGUCUAUGGGCUCAACUCAUAGUCUGCAUGAGAAACUGCCGGGCUUGAGUAUGGGAGAGGUGAGUGGAAUUCCUGGUGUAGCGGUGAAAUGCGUAGAUAUCAGGAGGAACACCUGUGGCGAAAGCGGCUCACUGGACCAUAACUGACGCUGAUGCACGAAAGCUAGGGGAGCAAACAGG